UACGGAGGGUGCAAGCGUUAUCCGGAUUCACUGGGUUUAAAGGGUGCGUAGGCGGGCAGGUAAGUCCGUGGUGAAAUCUCUGAGCUUAACUCAGAAACUGCCAUGGAUACUAUUUGUCUUGAAUAUUGUGGAGGUAAGCGGAAUAUGUCAUGUAGCGGUGAAAUGCCUAGAUAUGACAUAGAACACCAAUUGCGAAGGCAGCUUACUACACAGUUAUUGACGCUGAGGCACGAAAGCGUGGGGAUCAAACAGG
rnacentral:rRNA from 1 species